UAUGUGUAUGUGGUGGUGUUAACAUUUGAGACAAUUUUCAUUUACCAUGAAAGUACAAUAAUAAUAUUUUGAUUAUCAAUUAAAAGGACUGAUCAGGUGUCCAAGAUUCGCCAUCAUCUACUUGUUAGAUUGUUUAUCAAUUUCCCCCUGUCAACUGACAAUUUCUAUUAAUAUAGAUGCUUUGCUAAUUCAUGCGUUGGUUAUAUAUUCCCCCACCCAUACAAAAAACAAAAAAUACAAGACUAUGAACCUAUUUCCCGAACUUCACACUUUCUUUAUGCUGAACAUCAAAACCAACCCAAAAUUGCAAGAAUCCAAAACCCUGGUUUACUCUGAUUAUGAUAUGAAAAACAGUUGGACUAGACUUGGGUGGAUAUUUUACUAUCAACCUCAACAUCUCUAGUUGUGGAUCCAAUGCAAUUAAUUUAUAAUGGUCAUAAGGCAUAAGGUGAUAGUGAUAUUGUUGAAUUUGACCAAUGGAAACAGCAAAUGGGUACGCAGGGAAAAAAACCUGAACGCACAAAGCGAUGUCGCUUUCGAAGUGGCACUUCCCUUAGAUCCUCUAGCAAUAUUUUGUUUUGUCAUGAACAAUGUUGGCUCAUUACCAUUCACACCUCGUUAGUGUUUAUUGUGGACCAAUUUUUUAUCCAGAAAUUUCCUUGUUUUUUCCCUUACAACUGGUGGAAAUCCAAAACUUUAAAAUUGGUACCACUUUGAUUUUUUUCAGAGUUUUAUAUGAUUUUCUUGGAAGAGUCUAACAACUUGCAUAUUUGAAAGAGAAAUAAGCGGUUUUGAAACAUAUGUGACCGUUUAUAAUGGUGCACUAUCCUAGCUAGUAUGAUCAGUUGAGAGCAUAAAUGUAUAUUAAGUCAUGAAUAGCAUUGUUAUUAUUAUUGAUAUUUUGGAUGACCCGAGUUAAGCAUUGUGCUUGAGAUCCAGGAUACAAAUAUCGAUUUAAACCACUCGACUACCAUGAUCUCAAGCCCUAUUUUUCUAAAGUACAUGUGAUUGUUAUUAGAGUUGUAGAUGUGGACACAGACAUGGUCAUACAUUACAAUAAUAAUAUAGCUUUAAUUUUUUCUCUUUGUGGAAGAGAAUAGUUGCCUUUGAAUUUUCUAAUUCAAAUAAAAUUUUCAAUGGUCUGUCACGAAGUGUGUUUAUACUAUUCAGUUAAUCGAGUACUUAAAGACUAAUCAAUGUAAGAUAAUACACGUGUUUGACUGGUCACGGGGAAAAAUAUUAAAGAUACGUAUUUCUAUAUCAAUAGUACAGACAAAUAAAAGGAAUAAAAUAUGAGAUUUGAUCAUUAAUAAUAUGCUAAAAACAUUGGUCAAAGGACUAACUAAGUCAAUGAGUGCCGUCCAGAUGAAUUACAUGAGGCCCACCAUACUCGUAAUCUUGUAAAUCUGUUUAAGAAUAAAUUAUCUUCAAUCAGAAAAAAAAAAUAUCUUAAUUCUGAAAAUUUCAAAGCGGGUACCGAGUUAUGCUCUUUUGUAAUACACUACACGUUUGUUAUAUAAAAAACGAAUACUUAUUUCAGAUAUAUACUCUCGUAUAAAUCAUACCAACCAUAAUCUGUAACGUUAUUUAGAUUUACAUUAUGCGUAUUAUUUUCUGUUAAUUGUUUUUUAAAAUUAACUUACCAACUCUAACACGAAGUCAAAUUCUUCAGAACUGGUCAACUUAGAUGUCUCAGCUGCUCACCUAAAUUUAAUUUCAUGAAGUUUCAACCAAACCGCAUGAUUAAAAAUUCAAAAACAUAACUCAAAUUUUGAUAUUUUUACGUCCGAACCAUUAAAUUCCAUAGUCUUACACAAUAUUUGUAAUUAUUAUUUUUGGCUAAAAUUGAGACUAGAGCUGUAUUUAUUGCAUCCGCAUUAAAUAGUAUUUGAAGUUUUGAAUAUAGGUUUGUUACCAAUUGUAUAGAUAUCCAAUUGAUUUGUUUUUUCAAAAUUUGAAAAAUUCAUUUGAAAGUUGCUAAAAUAAGUUUUCACCUUUUAUAAAACAUUGAAAUAUUAAUAUAGUGAAAAUAAAUUUAUGUUGAAAUAUCACAAAUAAUGAUGGUCUUAGUCAUAUGGCACUAUUUAAUCAAGAUAACAUUUUUCACUCAAAUAAUUUCAAAUAUUAAAAAAAAUUGUUAUUUGUUCGAAAGAAAAAAUUUUGAAAGACCGGUAGCGUAAUAAAUACGUUAUUUCUUUUUUUGCUAAAUGAAUACGUUAUUUUGGUCAAAAAAUAAACAUAAAAAUGAUGAUUCAAUUCAACCUUUUGUGUUUUAAUUUCGUGAGGGGAGGAGAAAAGGAAAGGAAAAGUCUAAUAAAUAGAGAAGAAGAAGGAGAAUAAGCCUUGGGGCAAAUAAAUGUGUGUUCAAAGUUUUUGAGUUGGUUGGUCUUACGUGCGGGCGGGUCUGUUUUUUCAACUUCCCCUUUCCUCUUUCUCUAUAAUCCCUUUUUCCAUGAAUUUUCCAUGAAAAUCAUCUUCUUCCUUAGUAAUUUCCACACCUUUUUUUUUUUUUUUUUGUUAAAAGUAAUUUCAUUUCUCUAUAAUCCCUUUUUCCAUGAAUUUUCCAUGAAAAUCAUCUUCUUCCUUAGUAAUUUCCCCCCCUUUUUUUUUUUUUUUUUGCUAAAAGUAAUUUCCACACCUUGUCGAAGAAGAAGACGACGACUCCAACAAUAAAGAGCAAGAAGAAAAAGAAAAAGUAGUUGAAGACGGUGACGCGUAUGAUUAUGGCCGAAGAUGAUUCUCAGUCACUUUGCUUGGUUUAUUUCUUACUCUUCGUUUUGAUCACAGGUGAUUCUCUGCAUCCUCUGUGCUCAUUGAGAGUUUUUUUUUUUUUUGGGAAUAGACUGUGUUAUCUGGUGACAAAAAAGAAAAGAAGUUGUGUUCUCUGCUUGAGUUGCUUUGGUGGUUACUUUAUCGGGGUUAGGGUUUGAAUUUGACAUUUUAAGGGUUUCACCUUGUUUUAUAGAUUAUUGUUGUUUGUUUACUUGAAAGUAGGCUUGAGCAUUUGUAACUAGCUGAGAGCUGAACCCGAAUCGAAAAAAUCUGAAUUUGCAUUUGAUCCGAUCUACAAAAUAGUAAAAUACCAAAAUGGAUUAUGUAGUGCUGUAUUUCGGAUUAUGGAUAUUAUCUAAAACUGGAACCUGAGUGCAGAAAUAAUAUCUCAGUUUCGUAUUUAUUUUGAUAUGAUAUUUUUUUUCAAAAAUGGGAAUAUGAUUUUUUUGUGGUGAAAUUAUAUAUUUUCUAUCUUUAUUUAUGUGUUGAUUUUUCUUACAUGGCAGCCAUAUCAGUGGCGGGAGAUUCUCUUGACAGUGAUAGAGAAGUCUUACUAAGCCUCAAAACUUACCUUGAAUCCUGUAACCCAACGAACCGAGGAGUGUACACUGAAUGGAAAACAGAGAAGCAAGAUGUGUGUAAUCAAUGGCCUGGAAUCUCAUGUAUGCCACAGGGAAGUAGAGUCACAGGCAUCAACCUAAGUGACUCCACCAUCUCAGGUGCUCUGUUCACCAACUUCUCCGCCUUAACGCAGCUCACUCACCUCGAUUUAUCAAAGAACACGAUCGAAGGAUCAAUACCAGACGACCUGAGCCGUUGCCAAAACCUGAAACAUCUCAAUCUUUCUCACAACAUCCUCGACGGGGAGCUCAGCAUAUCCGGACUAUCAAAUCUCGAGGUUCUUGAUCUGUCAGUGAAUAGAAUCGCCGGUGAUGUCCACUCCACUUUCCCGACGCUAUGCAACCGUUUGGUCGUUGCGAAUCUAUCCACCAAUAACUUCACUGGCAGGAUGGAUGACAUCUUCGACGGUUGUCGGUAUCUAAAGUACGUCGACUUCAGUUCCAACAGAUUCAGGGGAGAGAUAUGGCCUAGUUUUGGGAGGUUGAUCCAGUUCUCGGUUUCCGAGAAUCAUCAUCUCUCCGGGAAGAUCACACCCACAAUGUUCAGAGGGAACUGCACUCUCCAAGUGUUGGACUUGUCCGAAAAUGAGUUUAUCGGUGAGUUUCCGGGACAAGUCUCGAACUGUCAGAGCCUGGAGGUAUUGAGUCUGUGGGGGAACAACUUCACUGGGAAGGUUCCACCUCAGAUAGGCUCUAUAUCCUCUCUCAGAGGCUUGUACUUGGGGAAUAAUAUGUUUUCUCGAGACAUACCUGAAACUCUAUUGAACUUGACCAACUUGAUCUUUCUUGACUUGAGUAAGAACAGCUUUGGAGGAGAUGUACAAGAAAUAUUCGGUAGGUUCACUCAAGUGAAGUAUCUAGUCUUGCAUGGGAACUCAUACGUCGGAGGCAUACACUCUUCUAACAUCCUCUCGUUGCCUAAUCUUUCAAGGCUAGAUCUUAGCAAAAACAACUUCUCUGGCCAGUUACCUCCUGAGAUCUCUAAGAUGCAGAGCUUAAAGUUCUUGAUUCUUGCUUAUAACAACUUCAGCGGCGAUAUACCGAAAGAGUAUGGUAACAUGCCGAAUCUUCAAGCGCUUGAUCUCUCUUUCAACAAGCUGACCGGUUCGAUACCAGCGUCAUUCGGGAAGCUGACGUCUCUUCUGUGGCUAAUGCUUGCGAACAACUCUCUAUCAGGAGAAAUCCCUCGAGAGAUUGGGAACUGCUUGAGCCUUCUGUGGUUCAACGCGGCGAAUAAUCAGUUAUCUGGUGGAUUACAUCCUGAGCUGACUCUAAUGGGUAGCAAUCCUUCUCCGACGUUUGAAGUGAACAGGCGAAACACCGACAACAUAAUCGCUGGCUCUGGUGAAUGUUUGGCGAUGAGAAGAUGGAUUCUUGCUGAGUUCCCUCCUUUCAACUUUGUAUACGCGAUACUUACCAAAAAGAGCUGCAGAAGCUUAUGGGACCAUGUGCUCAAAGGGUACGGUCUAUUUCCUGUGUGCUCUCCUGGCUCAACGGUCCGCACGCUCGAUAUCUCUGCUUACCUUCAGCUACCUUCUGCUCUCCUGGCUCCACGGUCCGGACGCUUAAUAUCUCUGCUUACCUUCAGCUCAGUGGGAACAAGCUAACCGGCGAGUUUCCUGCGAAUAUCUCUCGGAUGAAGAAGCUGAGUAUGCUUCAUUUGGGGUUCAACGAGUUCCACGGGCAGCUUCCCAAGGAGAUUGGGAAGUUGCCUCUCGCGUUUCUCAACCUAACGAGAAACAACUUCUCGGGACAGAUACCUGAAGAGAUAGAGAAUCUCACGUGUCUGCAGAAUCUUGAUUUGUCUUACAACAACUUCUCAGGAAACUUUCCGACCAGUUUGAACGACUUGUCUGAGCUGAGCAAGUUCAACAUCUCUUACAACCCUUUUAUUACCGGUGUGAUACCAUCCACAGGACAGCUCACAACCUUUGAGAAAGACUCCUUCCUUGGGAAUCCUCUUCUCCAGUUUCCAAGCUUCUUCAACCAAUCAGGAAACAACAACAAGACGAGGACUCAGAUUACAUACCAAAAGCUAGGACACAGGCCGGGAACUAUCCUCGUGGUUUGCAUCUCCUCCGCUCUCGCAUUGGUCUUCAUCGCUUGUGUGGUGGUUAUAAGCAUCAUCCUCAUGGUUGUCAAAAGCUCAAGACAAUCCGAAACAGAUCUCUUGGACGGUUCCAAAAUCAGACACGACAGCUCCUGGGGAUCGUCCCCCUGGCUGUCGGGAAAAAUCAAAGUCAUCCGGUUAGAUAAGUCCACGUUCACGUACACCGACAUUCUCAAAGCCACCAGUAACUUCUCCGAGGAGAGAGUAGUGGGUAAAGGAGGAUUCGGGACCGUUUACAGAGGCGUGUUGCCCGACGGAAGAGAAGUCGCGGUCAAGAAGCUGCAGAGAGAAGGCACGGAGGCGGAGAAAGAGUUCAGAGCCGAGAUGGAAGUUCUAAGCGCCAAUGCGUAUGGUGACUGGGCGCAUCCCAACCUCGUGAGGCUGUACGGAUGGUGUUUAGACGAGUCGGAGAAGAUCUUGGUGCACGAGUACAUGGGUGGCGGGAGCUUAGAGGAGCUUAUAACAGACAAAACAAAGCUAACGUGGAAGAAACGGAUUGAUAUAGCUAAAGACGUAGCGCGUGCGUUGGUGUUUUUGCACCACGAGUGUUACCCUUCGAUCGUCCACAGAGACGUGAAGGCGAGUAACGUUCUCUUGGACAAACACGGGAACGCGAGGGUUACGGACUUUGGACUAGCGAGGCUUUUGAACGUUGGGGAUAGCCACGUGAGCACUGUGAUCGCGGGGACUAUAGGGUAUGUAGCUCCUGAGUAUGGACAGACUUGGCAGGCUACCACGAGGGGGGAUGUUUACAGCUACGGAGUGUUGGUAAUGGAGCUCGCGACGGGGAGAAGAGCGGGAGAUGGAGGGGAANNNNNNNNNNNNNNNNNNNNNNNNNNNNNNNNNNNNNNNNNNNNNNNNNNNNNNNNNNNNNNNNNNNNNNAGCGGUAGAUGGAGGUGAAGAGUGUUUGGUUGAAUGGGCGAAACGGGUGAUGAUGACGGGUAACUUGACGGUUAAAGGGUCACCGUUUACUCUCUCCGGGACAAAGCCAGGGUACGGAGCCGAGGAGAUGACUGAGCUAUUAAAAGUUGGUGUGAAGUGUACUGCGGAUCAGCCUCAGGCAAGACCGAACAUGAAAGAGGUUUUGUCUAUGUUGGUUAAGAUAUCUGGUAAAGCUGAGCUGUUCAAUGGCUUGUCUUCACCACCACAAGUUUACAUAGAAAUGUAAAAUCUUUUCUUCUUACAGAUUCAUACACAACAGCAUAGUUUUGUUUAGAUUCUUUUUGAUUCUUGCAACACAAGAUAGUUUUGUUUGUUAUGUACAGAGAGACACAUAUUGAAAUAAAAUAUAUUUUCUUCUCUAUCUCAUGUUUCUUACAAGUAAGGAAACACAAGAGUACAAUGAGUUAAGCUGAGAUCUCUCUGAUCAGCCAGUUUAAGCUCGGGACAGCGAAAUAAAGAACAAGAAACGACGGGACAGCCAAAGCAAACGUGACAAAGACAUAGACACCGAGAACCGCAGCACUCACAGGGAUUGCAUAUAAAGCCACCAAAAGGAAUACGACUAUCAAAGGAAACUUAGCCAAGAGAUGAGCAGCAAGAGCCAUUGACUUACGUACCGAGUCAUGAAGUCUCCAUCCUCUAGUCAGACCAUUCCACCAACCGCGGUUGUCAUCUGAGGUCACUCCAUCGCACCUUCUCUGCCCUGGAGUGACCCUUUUGUUGUUGUCGCUGCGAGAGCCGUUCAUGGUUUCGACCAUCCAUAAAAGGUAAUAGUUCUUGGAAGGGAACUUGAUGGUUCCGUUGCGUACUAGUCUUAAAGAGAGGAAACUGCACCAAGGGCAAGCGACGAAGAAGGGAAGCUGGAAAGGAAAACCUGAGGAUUUGUUCACAACGGCACGUUGAAGCCCUAAGAGACAGUACUUGCAGAUGGUGUGGCCGCACCAUAAGACGUAAGGGACGUUCUCAACGACGUUGAAUGAUUCCCAGCAAAUGGGACACUCCAAUCUUUCUUCCUUCGUUGUCUUUACGCCAUCUCCAGACGAAUCUAAAGGAGUGUUUCUCUGUUGUGUGACAUCAUCUUUUGAUCUAAAACCUUCUUUGAUGGAUUUUGAAGCUAGUUUCCACAUAACAAAGGCACUUUGUUUUGAACUCCUUUAAAGAAACAAGAAGCAAGAAUCAAAUUUCUUCAGACAGUGGACAGAAAUGGUAAGUUCAAGACGCAUAGAUAAUCAAAAUUCAGACAUGAACUUGAAGAAACACAAUCAUUAAACAAAAAAAAAAAGUAACAGACACAAAAAGCAUACCACAGAUUUUGAAGAGAAAGUAUCUAUCUUGACUUGCAAGAGUUUAUCCGGUCAAAGAAGAUGAAGAUACUUGAGCAAAUAAAUAUCCCCUGACGCAACACGACGACGUUUUCGAAAAAGAAACCACUGAAGAGAAAGAGACACGCGUCGUGAAACAUGGUGACUCGGAAACGCAUUUCGAGGUGCUCCGCCGCCACCGAUUUGACGACGUUAGAUUCACCAUAAAACGCACCGUUUCAUUAAACACUCGUAUUACCGCCCGCCAACGUGCACUGCUUCCGUCAACCAUCGGCUACUUCCGUAAUUGCCGCCGUUAAAAACGAGUUGUAAUUAAAAAAAUAAAUUAAAAUUAAAAUGACAUUUGUCGGUGUGAGUGAGCUGUACGCGUUUCGUUCACCUCUGCUUCUGGAUCGAACGAAGCAGUUUCCUCCGACAAUAUAUGUUUUUUAAGUAUGACAAUGUCUCCACGUUAUUGGGUUUAAUUUCCAUUUUUUUUUUUUUUAAAUUAGGGUUCUUCAGAUCGACAAUCUUUUUCUCUCUCUCUCUCUCUUUCCCAUCGAAUCAUCCUAAAGAUCUCAACUUUCUUCAGAUCCGUAAGUAGAGAGAGAGAGAAAAAACUACACAGACUGUAUUUUCAGACAAAACCCAUGUUAAAGAUCUGAUCUUUCUUCAGUUCUGAUGGUCUCUAAUCUGUAAACGAAAGCUAGAGAUAGUAGCGAGAGAGAGAAAUGGGUCAAGACGGGUCGCCGGCGCACAAAAGACCCUCCGGAAGCGGCGGAGGACUUCCGACGUCAACCCUAUCAAACGGCGGAGGAAGAGGCGGUCGCGGCGUGUUACCUCGAGGUAGACAGAUGCAGAAGACGUUCAACAACAUCAAGAUCACGAUCCUCUGCGGAUUCGUCACCAUCCUCGUCCUACGCGGCACGAUCGGCGUCGGUAACCUCGGGAGCUCGAGCGCCGACGCGGUUAACCAGAACAUCAUCGAGGAGACUAACCGGAUCCUAGCCGAGAUCCGGUCCGACUCGGAUCCCACCGACUUGGAUUCUCCUCAGGAGAUAGAUAUGAGCACCAACGAGACUUACGCCUUAGGGCCUAAGAUAACGGAUUGGGAUAGUCAGCGUAAGGUGUGGCUUGACAAGAACCCUGAGUUUCCUAGUACUGUCAACGGCAAAGCUCGGAUCUUGCUGUUAACGGGGUCUCCUCCCAAGCCCUGUGAUAACCCUAUCGGUGAUCAUUAUCUCUUGAAGUCAGUGAAGAACAAGAUUGAUUACUGUAGGCUCCACGGGAUUGAGAUUGUGUACAACAUGGCUCAUUUGGAUAAGGAGCUAGCUGGUUACUGGGCCAAGUUGCCGAUGAUUAGGAGGUUGAUGCUGUCUCAUCCUGAGGUUGAGUGGAUUUGGUGGAUGGAUAGUGACGCUUUGUUCACUGACAUACUGUUUCAGAUCCCUUUGGUUAGGUACGAGAAGUGUAACUUGGUGAUUCACGGUUAUCCGGAUUUGCUGUUUGAUCAGAAGUCGUGGAUUGCUUUGAACACUGGGAGCUUUCUGCUGAGGAACUGUCAGUGGUCUUUGGAUUUGUUGGACGCUUGGGCUCCCAUGGGACCUAAAGGGCCGAUACGUGACGAGGCGGGGAAGGUGCUGACGGCUUAUCUCAAAGGAAGGCCGGCUUUCGAGGCGGAUGAUCAGUCGGCGUUGAUCUAUCUCCUCCUUUCUCAGAAGGAUACGUGGAUGGAGAAAGUGUUUGUGGAGAAUCAGUACUAUCUGCACGGGUUUUGGGAAGGUUUGGUUGAUAGGUAUGAGGAGAUGAUGGAGAAGUAUCACCCCGGGUUGGGCGACGAGAGGUGGCCGUUUGUGACGCAUUUCGUGGGGUGCAAACCGUGUGGUAGCUACGCUGAUUACGCGGUGGAGAGGUGCUUGAAGAGCAUGGAGAGGGCUUUUAAUUUUGCAGACAAUCAAGUGCUGAAGCUGUAUGGUUUUGGACAUAGAGGGCUGUUGAGCCCCAAGAUUAAGAGGAUCAGGAAUGAGACGGUGGCUCCGUUGGAGUUUGUAGACAAGUUUGAUAUUCGCAGAACGGAAGUGGAAUUCAAACCGCGUUACUAGAGGGAAACGAGGAGAGGGAUAGUCACAGCUCUGAUGAUGAGAUCAUGGACACAGUAUAGGUAAAAAAAAUAUAUGACACUCACAGAUGCAAAACCUGUACUUGCUACUUCACUGUUUCUUUACUUCUUUUUUUGUUUUGUUGUUGUUUGCAAGGAUCUUUUAGCUUCAACAUUCUUUUUCCAUAGAUGUUUUUUGUGUUUUCUUCAGUCAAAUAUAUGGAGAAAUUUUCAUACUUGUUUGUUAUAAUCAUUGAACGGUACAAGAGAAAUCAUUUUAGAUACUAACUAUAGCAACUGAUCAGUAACCAAACAACGGAGACAACUGAACUGACUAGGAAGAGCCAGAGGAGUGAUUUGGUGGAUCAUUUCUUCAUGUGGAUAACCAACUUUCUGGCAGCUAGACGUAUCCCUGCCAUUUUCUGAUAAUCAUAAGGCUCGAGUGAGAAGUACGCAUCAACCAGUGUACCAGGAAGUAACGCUGACUCAAGCUCUUCAAACUCGUUGCUACUGAAAUCUAGCUUUUCAACAGUUUCCGAAGAUUCUUUUCUCUGGUACACCUCGGUGGCGUCAUCUCCAUUAGAUUCUGAGCUGAUUCUGUCAACCAAACAAGAAUGAGACUCUGAGUGGCUUAGCCCUUGUAUGCAAAAGAAUAGAGACAAGUCAAAAGAACUUACUGCAAUCUAGCGGUGGGGUAGUUAGCAAAGCCUUUUUUCCUCAUAACAGUGAGCCUCCAACCUGAGGUUGUGCCUGACUCAACCGAUAAGUUACGUGCAACGUCAUCGGCUUCCUCCAAGAUCUUGCAUAAAUCAGGAGGCAAGUCGACAACAAUGUUCAACCUUGGUAGGCCUGCAUGAUCCAAAUACUUCCGGCUUAUUCCAAACCGAACUUUCAAGCUGUCUCCAUAGAGUUGGAGAGGGUCAUCGUCAUGGAACAGCUUUAUUCUUAGGCUCCCACGGUUAAACGGGAUAAGACUUGCGCUGAUGCUAGAAACAGAUACUUCAUCAACCCCCAAAAAGUCUUCAUCUUUGGCGUCAGGAUUGGGUGAUGGAGUUGACUCAUCCUGUGCUUCGUCUGCAGCAUCUGUCUGAAGAGUUCCAAUGUGGAGUUUACUUAUAAGAGUGGUUAUAUCAGAUGGAUCUAUUCCGCAAGAAGUAUCAUCUUCUGAGCAUUCUGUCAGGAGAGAAACGAUGGGAUGGGUUUCUCUAACACCACUAGAGGAUGAGGAAGCUGAGCUUUCUUUAACUCCACUAGGCAAUGACUUCUCAUUACUUUUCGUUCUUGGACUUCUCCUUGGUGAAAACCAGCUCAUUUCUGUUAGAAUGUCAGGAACACUAGACUCCUACAAACACCAAAGUACUUAUUAAGUCACAAAGUGCUUGACAGUUUCAAGAUUGUAUCACCAUUAUAGACAGCAUUACCAGGAACAAGACAGUUGCACAGUGCUUGACAACUUCGAGAUUCAUCCGGACAUCCUCUAAGCUCCUAUGUGCUUGAUCUCCCAGGUCAAAGUAUUUAGCAAUUGAUGCCAUCUGCCAUUGGUUAAAAAAGGAGGAUACUUUAUGCAACUUUGAGGUUACAUUAGCAAUGAGAAGAAGAGGAGAGAGAGAGAGAGAGAGAGAGAGAGACCUUCAUGUCACCAGCUCUCUUCCCAAACUUCUGAGACAACAACGAAAGAGAAUCGAUUAUAGCUUUAGGCUCUGGUGGAGAAUGACCAAUCUCCGCAAACGCGUCUCUUAUUCUCACACAAUCAAACCUCUUUAUGUUAUGUCCAGCCCAUAUCCUUCCUACAAAGAACACACCAAACUCAACACUUUUAAGCUUCAAAGUGAGUGAGAAAGAGAAAGCCUUAUUACCAUGGAGAAUGUUGUAGACUUGGUCAGCUAUCUCAACGAACGUGGGCGCAGAGAGGACUCCUUCGCGCGUGAUACCGCUACGCCGUUUGGAGAGCGUGGAGAUGAGAGAAAGGUCGGUGGGUCGAACCAGAGUUGAGUAGCUGUGGAGCUCCACUAGCUUCCUAGGGCAGACUAAGAUAGCUCCAAACUCCAGAAUAGCGAAAGGCUUUCCCGGUUCGGUCGGAACCGCCGUCUCGAGGUCGAAGAACGCUAUCUCGCUUCUUCCCUCGUUGCCCCCGCCUAGUGUCGAAGCCAUUGCUGAAAAAGUACUGAGAAGGCUUCGAAAGUCGAGAGAUAAUAAUAUAUAAAAUGGAGGGUGUAAAGAGAGUAACUUUCACGCGCCACCUCAGAACCCUUUUUCAUACCUUUUCCGAUUUUCUUGUUUUACGGACAAAAAAAAAAAAAGUCAAAACUUUAGACGCAACGGUCGGAAUAAAUGAUGAUGGUGCUGGGUCGGUAUGCUUUAAACGGUCAAGUUCAAGAGUCUUUGGAACGAUUGGUUAGAGCCAAUAUUAUUCAUCAUCUGUUACUCUCCAAAUGAUGUAACUUUUGGUUGUAUGGUGGAUUUGUUUUUGCACAACACACUUUACAACGUUUCACUCCUUCUUAACAACUUAAUUAGAUGCAAGCUUAUGAGUUAUGAAAAGGUGUGAAUUGAUUGUGUAGGACCACCACCUCUCCAGCUGGCUUUUGAAAGAUAUACUUUCUUUUUUAACGUCUUCUGAUCUGGGCCUUGACAUUCUCUAUCUUAGAGGCCCACCUUUCUCUUCUGUUCUUGGCCCAUUACUCUACUCUAUGCUUCUUCUCGCGACUCUGUUUCUGAGAACAGAGAAUCUUCUUCUUCUUCUUUCAUGGAUUCUUGAGAGAUGAGAAAUGUAUUCUUGUUUCAUGAACAUCAACACAUCGGUUUCGGUCUGUUACACGUGUGUUAAGUUUGUUUCGUGAAUGAUGAUGUGAGAGACUCGUGAGCAGUGACGGCCCUGGGCACAAGCGGCAACAUGCUUCCGGCCCUGCUUAAAUUAUUUAAAUUUUCGGUCCAAAGUUACAAAAAUUUUCGGUAGUUUAAUGGCUUACAAUGUGUUUUAGUGUGUAUUAGGUGGGGUGUACGAAUCUUUCCAGCCGCAAUUUCUUUUAGUCAAUUAAUAAUAGGCCCAAAUUUUUAAUUUUGCUUCCAGCCUUUAAAUUAUACGGGUCGGGUCUGCUCGUGAGGUGUGUUGAGUUGUGUGUAUUACAAGUUGUGAUUAUGGCCCUGUUCGUUUCGUAAACUGGAUGAGAAUUCCAGACGCGGCAUCCGCGCGCGGUAAUUGGAUGCAGCAAUCAGAUGUUGUUCGUUCGCGAUUCUGGAAUAAAGGCCACUGGCCCAACAAAGUAAAUGAAAACUUAAAUUGGAUAAUCUAUAUAUAUAAAGUAGACUUUUCUCUUUUCUUAUGACAUGUGGAAGGGGGUUUUGUUGACAUGUGUCCACUCUUUUGUUUUUUUACAUUUUAGAUCAUUUUUCUUUUAAAUUAUUGCAAUUUGGUUCACUAUUUUCUAAUUAUACACUAUCUAAUCCUUCUCACACUAACCAUCAUCAUUUGAAGUUUGAUCAUCUAUUUUAAUCUAUUUUAUUGUUCAAAAAAUUGCAAAACGAAUAAAAAAAUAAGUAAAAAAUAUAAAUGUAUUUUAAAUAUUUAAUUUAUUCACAGCUAAAAAUAAUAUAAACUUUCGCGAUUUUAUUAUUUUCUAUUAUUUCAUUUACAACUAUAUAUUUAUCUUAAUAUUAACCAAACUAAAGCAUAACAUAAUCUAAACAUAAAACCUCACAGAGAAAAAAAUGUCAAAGUAAUACUAACUCAAUAAAGGUCCAGAACUCAAAGGCGAUCAAGAACGAAAACUAACUUACCCCACUUUAUCAUAGAAUGUCUUGGCCAGAACAAUCAAAAGUCAGUAAAAUGUAGAAAGAUAAUCUUGAGAUAAAACAAUCUCUCAAACACAAAUGAGCGUGAUGAAGGACCAAUGCAAAGAAUCAAGAAAGCAGGUUAGAGGAAGAAUAAUCAACAGAAGGCCAAAAUCACCACGAAGCAGGAAGAGACAUACAUAACGAACAAUAAGCACAACCACCAGCUAAGAGGUAAGAAUCACCUCACAAACUAAACAAGCACAAACAAGACGCCUAUGCCGGUGAAGAACCACAAAGCUCGGGAUAGAAGGGACCAAAGCUCCAAGAGACUAAUACCACACAUUUAUACUAAGGGAAGCAAAGGAAGAAGAGAACAACAUGAGUGAGGGAGAACGAAAGCCAACCCCGAGAAACAUGAGCCCAGACUUGAGACCAGAAACAAUCUUCCAAAUCUACAGAGCAUACUCGGAGGAGAACAUUAUCCAAACCUGGAGUGGCAAACAUGGCGAAAGAGAGAGUCACAGAGACGCAAGCAACGAUGAAAGCUGCAACGAGAUGAGGGAACAUAAAUGGAAGGGUAGACAAAACAAAAUCAUCGUGGAGCCGUCCUCGAGCUAUAGAAGUCAAAUCACCAAAAACCAUAUCUUGAAAACCAAAACGACAAGGGAGUAUCAAUGGUAAGCUAACGACGAGUAAAACAACUUUAAAGACGACUAAACUCUGACCCAACCCAAAGAGAUGCAGUUCAUAACAACAGCUAAAAUCUAAGGAAGAAGAAGAAAAUCCUAUAUUGAAUGGAGCAGCCUAAAACAACGCUAGAAACAACCGCACAACUGGGAACUCCUAAACCCGAUUUACAACAAAUACCAGAAAUCUCAAGGUGAAGAAGGCGAUAAAGAACAAUAGCAUGAGGUGAGUCUUUUUCGGUGAUGAUGAGAAACACCGCAUACCAGAAAGGUAAACAAAAUACAUAGAUGUUGAAGGCUCAAUUUCAAAAUAUGGGAAAAAAAUAAAAACAUCUUGAAAGUUAUAAUGUUCAAAAAUAUGAAAAGAAUAAAAAAUAAUUUUGAUGCUGAAACCGUUAAUCUUAAAAUCAACAAAUGCAUAAAUGCAAAUUUAAGUUAUUGAAAUUCAAUAUAUUUUUACAUUAUAUGCUCGCUUCACUACUAUACUGAAAAAAAACACAUUAUUGAAAAACAAAGACAAAAUAUAUUAACAUAUCACUAUUACUACUAAAUAACACAAUAAAAACACCAAAUAACAUUCUUAACAAAUAAAAGUGAUCAUCUAAUUACAUUAUCCAAAAAAUCAUACUUUUAAUAACAAUAAAACAAUAUUCCGCGCGAACAGCCCUAAGUAAAUAAAUAAAAAGAGCCCAAAAAAAAAGCAGAGACUAAAAGAAACAGAGCAAACCUCCGUCUUCCUUUUUUUUGACGAGCGGUGAUGUUUUCUCUCAACUUCCAUGGCUGACAUCUCACCUUCCUAAUUCUCCCCAACCUACCACACAAAGUCUAUUUCUUUCGCCUAAAACUUCACCAUCAAACACCCCCUAGGGUUUUUUUCAAUCCAUUUUUUUUUGUAUUUUUGAAAUUUUUUCUAAUGGAUGCGAUCUUCUCCCCCGCCGUGGAACCUGAAGGAGCCACCGACUCAACCAUCGACACAGUUUCUCGCUUGGUCUCCGGCGCUUUCUCCAGAGCUCUUACUGGUUUUUUCGCUAUGGGUGAUUUGCUCCACCGUUUUGAUGCAUUUGAUCAUGGAUUCUGUGUAGAAUUUAACGUCUUUGUUCAUUUCUUCUCUUUAGUAGAUUCGUGAUUCCUUGCAAAUUUUUGGGAAAGGGUUAAAUUUUUUUUUCCGAUGAAACAGAGCACCGACAGAACAUGUGAAACAGAAGAUGUUUCAGUUAAAAAUUUAAAGACAUGUUUUUUUCUUUAAGUUCCGACCACUUUACGUGUUCAACAACUUAAAAGUUAAUCGUCUAAACUUCUAACUGAACUUGAUUCCUAACUGUCUAUGAGUUUUUUAAUUGUUUAGACCAAUCCUGUGUUAGGACUUAAGUGUCCUGAAGAGUUUAGUCUACGUGUUUGCCUAGGAGUGAUCUCUUUGGUUGGACAUCUGAUGUGUUGAGAUGACAUAGUUGCCUCUAGGGUUUUAGAAUAAACCAUCAAGAUCAUCUCCUCUGUGUCUGAUCCCUCUAAGCCUAUUUGGUUUUGGGUAAAUUUAUUUUUUGUUCUUGAAUGUAUUGUAGCUGGAGCUUUCACAGGAGCCGUAACUGGUGCGGUGGCAGGCAGAGCUGCACAGUACGGAGUCCUCCGUGGGGCUGCACUCGGCGCUGUAGCUGGAGCUAUUCUCUCUGUUGAAGUCUUGGAGGCUUCUCGUGCCUACUGGUAUUUAGAGCUAUCAGGAUCCAGGGGACCUUCAUCUAUGGUUAGUCUUUUAAAUUCUUCUUCUGAGCUACCUUACCCCCUUUGUCAAGCAUAGGGAGAUGAGUUUUCUUAUUGACUUUAUGGUCGAGAUGGAGAAAAAAGAAGUUUGGUAGAUGAAAUAAUGACAUGUUACUACUGGUGGACCACCAAAGUUAUGGGAUAACAGUAUGGCUUGGUUAAGUUUCUUUUAAUUGUUCCCUUUGAUUAAUCUUAACAAACCUUCAUAUGGAUGAUUGUCUUGACGUUCUAAAUCUAUAUUAUUCAUUGCUUAUUUAUAUGUGAGAAAAGACUUAAAACCUGAGCCUUUUGUUUGGGAUUCAGGCAGAUUUUGUAGAGCAACUGUUUCGUGGGAGACUAGUAGAUGAACAACUUAUGUCAACAAUGAUACAGUCACACCACUGGCAGGUUCUAUUUCUAACUCCCUUCCAUGUUCACUCUGUGUUCUGCAAUUAAAAGUACUAUAGAGUAGUUUUUUUUUUUCUACUUAUUGUUGCAGUUAAGGAUAUCAGAUGUAAGCUAUGAAGAGAGGGAUGAUGUGUAUAGUGAAUUGGAACCCAGAGGCUUGUCUGGUGACUCGUUAAGGAAACUCCCAUGCUAUAUCAUGUCAAGUGAGAUGACCAAGAAGCAGAUCAUUCACUGCACUAUUUGUCUUCAGGUUUCAUUCUCUUACAACGAACUGAUUUAAACUUCUUACCCUUUUGUUCACCCUCAAACACCUUGGGAUUUUACAGGACGUCGCAGUUGGCGAAAUCACACGGAGCUUACCGAGAUGUGACCAUACGUUUCACCUGGUUUGUGUUGAUAAAUGGCUCAUCAGACAUGGAUCAUGCCCCAUUUGCAGACAGGCCGUUAAAGAUUAAAAAGCACCAUUGGUAUCCGAGGAGUGUACGUAGCAAAAACCCAUUGUCAUUAUAUGUUGUUGUAAGUCUCUGAAUCCUUGUUUCAAUCUCUCUUUGUUACUUUUACUUAUAGCAUCAUCCAUAGGUUUCUGCUUUUGAAUGUAUACUAUUACUGUAGACAUGAAUAAAAACACAUACAGAUAUGUUGGGAAAAAAAAUAUAGAACUUGAUUAAGUGAUGCACUAAGACAUGUAUUCUAAUAUUUCAUACCUUACAAGUUACAACACCUUGUAAAGUCAUAAAAACACUACUAAAUCUCUUGAUCUUUAGAGCAUCUCCAAACUCGCUCUAUAUUUUACUAUAUUUUUUUUUUGUUCAAUAUUCCAAUUUUAUAGUAAAAUAUGAACUGAGGUUGGAAAUGUCCGUAUAACCAUCGGACCCUUGCACUUGGGAACAAGGCUCCAUCUGCCGUUGGUUUUCGGUUUAGAACUUGGCUUGAGGGGAUAUUUCUCCGUUUAUCGAAUUCAGGAAGCAGCUCAUGUCUAACUCCACAAGCUAGAAUAUGUUCUACCAAUUGCUGAAACUAAUUAUUUCUAGUGUCAAAAGACCCCAAUAUGGAUUCCUAUUCUUUUUAUCAGCUCUAGCAAGAUAAGCGUGUGAUAGUAUCAUGUGAUGAGACCACAGACAGCAUUACUUGGAUGAAAAAGAUGCCGACCUGUGUUUUAAAAGGCGAUCGCCUUUUGCGCCAAGGCGCAAGGCGCACCGGGGCGAUGGUCCUAACGCCUCAGUCUUCUAAGGCGAGCCCUAGUUCCUCAAGGCGCUCGCCAUGGUGCGCCAUUGGCUUAAAUAUAAGCGCCUUUGAACCUCUUAAGGCGCGCCUUGUAUUUUCCGUUAAACACUACUUUGACGGAACCCUUAAAACAUCUUGGAACUCUAUCACUACUUUAUCGACAUUUAAAUAUCCUUAAAACAUAAUGCUUAGUUUUUCAGAGUUAUAGGUUUUGUUGGAUUUGAGCAAUUGAAUUUAGUUUUUUAGUUUCAAGUUCUUUGUUUUGGUGUUUUGGGGUUUAUAUGUGUGUACAUAUCUGACUAUAUUAGUGUGCAUGACUAACUCGUUGCUGACUAUAUUAGUGUGUAUAAAUAAGACAGUUUGGUAUAGCUGACUGUACUAUUGUUAUAUACAAGUUUACUCUGUAACUAUCUUAUGUACGUAACCAUAGAAAUAGUUACGCGUCUGUAGCUAACACAUAUGCUUCUAACCUAAGAACAUCUAUCAAUGCAUAUCUAAGUUCCUCUAAAGCUGUAUAUAACUAAACCACGUUUGAAUGCAUCCUAACCAUAAGGCGAGCGCCUUGGAGUGCCAUGGCGCAAGGCGCAUGGCUCCAACCUCCUCGCCUUAGAGCGCCAUGCGCCAUUUAAAACACAGAUGCCGACUCAAGAAGUAGAGAACUGUUUCUUUUUCUGGGAAGAGAUUUUUUUAGUUCCUUUGGGAAUGAAGAGACAGAGACGAAACCAAGAAGUGUUUGGAAAUGGCUAGCAGAAAAGAUCAGCCAUUUUUCAGCACCUUGGUCCACAAGUUAAACCAUGUUUGUUAAGAGAGCAUAAAGAAAAGCUGAAGCUAGGCUCAGCAUCAGACCUGUCUCCCGCCUUUGAGCUUGUUCAGUGUUACGUUAUAGGAACUAGUGAAUGGUCCACACCGUCUAUGAAGACUCGCCUCAUACCUGCUUAAGCAUAUGAUUCUUUAUCGAAACCAGGGAGGAGAUUCCCGCCGUCAUCUGAUUAAAUGGCUGAAACAAAGAAAGACACCAAAGAGUGUUUACUAAUGCAACUUUACAGGACAGAAAACAAUAAAAAGUAAAACAUCAUACAACAAAAUAAACCAUUUUGGAGAAAGAUUCAUCUGAGCUGAGAAGCUGCAUCAGUCUCCACAACACCAUUAUAAGGUGGGUCUCUGAGUACCACCGACAGAGAAAACAUAACCGAAGCAACCAUAAUAACCUCCAGAAGUAGAUCCCAUCGUUUUCAUCAUUCUCAAACUUGGUCUCAUAUUGCAUCCACUUCGCUAGACCCGGUCCGAGUAUCUGAGUUGAUCACUAAGUAAGCUGCUGCAUUCGAGUUCUUCUUUGCACGCUUCAUAGGGUAAGACUAGAGUUAGAAGGCAGGUGGAGAAGCCGGGCCGGAUCCUAAAAUGAGUAUUCGGGUCUCUAAAGAAAGACUUGAGCAUAGUUAGUGUGGAGUGACGACAGAGUUCGGGUGAAGUACAUCAUGUGACGUGUCUUACAGAAGAGAGAUAGGCAGUGAGUACGUGGCAGAGACAACGACAAACUUCGCUACGACUUUAUGAAACAUUACCAUCUAAGUUCAUCGUACUAAUUUUAUUAUUGGACUGACUCUAUUUUUAUAUUAAAAAGUUUGUAUAUAGUGAUACAUUCCAUGUUAAUUUUUCUAUCCUUUUUGGUCUAUCUUUAUAUUUGAAAUGGAUACGAUUGGGUGAAUAUACCCAAACUGCUGCAAAAUUAAGUAACUACCCGAAACCAUGAAAAACUCAUGUUCACUGUAGACAUUGGUAUCUUCCUUUUUCAUUUUACCCAUGUCCUAAAAUUUCAUCUUGUUUCCCUUUCUUUUUCGAAUUCAUACAUCGUUCAUCUAUCUUUUUUUCUCCCAAUUAUCUCAACCUUUGUUAAGAUUAAAGCUUCAUUUCAAAUCAAUCAAUCUUCUUCUUAAAUCUCCAAAUCAUGAUCUACUAUGUUUCCAACGCCAAUCAUAUGAUAACCUCCUCAUCUUCUUAAAUCUUCAAACCUUCCAAAAAGAUUACGAUUAGUUCUAAGAUUUUACGAACUCUACAGUGUGCAACUAUUUCAGAAGAGAGAGAAAACACAGUCGAUAAAGAGAAAAGAAACACAAUAAAGUAUUAGUAACAAUACAAUAAUUGCUUGAUUUAUAUACAAUAAUUGUUAACCGCUAAGAAUAUAUUAGUUGAAUAGAUAAUGAUUAAAUUAACACAAUAAUCUAUUUUUUACAAUUUAAGAAAAUAUAUAUCAGGUAACAAUAGUUAUUUUUAACAUCUUGCCAACCAAUUUAAAAAGCGAUAACAUGUUUUAUAACAGUUAACCAAACAUGUACCUGUUAAUGACAACAUAUUGUAUAAAAUGUAACUGCUAAGUUGUGACGUACAAUGUUAUAUGACUUGUUAGACCGGUAAUCAAUUUUGUACCAUUUAACAAACUAUGUAUAAACCAAUGUCAGCUAUUUAUUAACAUCUUAUAACCCAUUUAAAAAAAAUUUAACAUGUAUUGUAACAUCUAAGCAAAGAUUUACCUGCUCACUAUACUCGCUACUGAAGUGUUAUCGAUGUCGGGGAGACCCUAUCUUUCUGACUGUACAGCCCAUACAUACACCAGCAUCUGAAUCGAGGAGAUCUAUCCAAUACGUACAGUGGUGGUUGAGACCGAGUGAACCGACGAAGAGAUUGUGGUAGACGAACUCAUGAGGUGAUAAAGAUCAAGAUUCCAAACAUCAAGUUCUGCAUAAAUUCAAUCUCCUCGGUUCAUGGUGAGAGAUUUGAUUCAAUCAAUUUUUGGUUUGUGUCAGGAUCAAAUCUUCUCUCCUACCAGUUCUAGAUGAACUCAUCGAGGAGUUAAUUUUAUUGGAAAAAAAAUUAUUUGUAAAAAAAGGGUGUGAUAAUGGAUUAGAGAAGAUAAAAAAAGAAAAAAAAUAUUAUUAUUUGGUAAAAAAAUUUAGUGAGAUACGAAAAGGAGAAGGAAGAAGUAUGGGCAGGGACUGGCAGGGCAGGGACAGAGACAUGGGGAAGGGCACGGGCAUGGACAAAAUUGGAGUUUAGAAAUAUCAAUAGUGUUUAGGAUUUUUAUCUAAUUAUGGAUUUUCUAGGUACAUGGGGCCUAAUUUCUCUUUGAAAUGCUUAAAUAACAAAAAUAGAAAGAAAAAAAAAAUCAAACCACUUCUAACUCGUCAUAAAUUUCACUAACUACGGCCUGUUCGUUUGCUCACCCAGGUGAUCCAUCUGGGUGAAGAUGCAAAUCGAUGUUCGUUUUGUGCAUUAUAAUGCUACAUCCACAUGGAUCACCCAACUGAAUUUUUAAAAACUCAUCUCAAAUUGUCACCCAAACGAAAGUGAGUCUUGAUGGUGCAUCUAGAUGCAGAUGCAUCUAGUUCAGUCCAAAAUGAUUAAUGACAAAAAUGACUUUUUAAAAUCAAAAUAUUAUUUUCAAAUCGUAAAUUCUAUUUUCUUGCAUAUACAUUUUUCCGCUAUAACCAAAAAAUACAUUUUCUCGCAAAAACUGAAAACACACAUUCCCGCUAAAACCGCAAGAUGCGUUUUUCGCAUAAAAAUGUAAAACGCCCAUUUCCAUAAAAACACAUUUUUCGGUCAACCCAGUAAAAUCGCACUUUUCGACCAAAAUCGAAAAACGCAUUUUCCCGUCAAAACCGAAAAAAUGCAUUUUCCCGCCAAACCCCAAAAAACAAAUUUUCCCGCCAAAACCGAAAAAAUGCAUAUUCCCGCCAAAACUCCAAAAAGCAUUUUUCGGCCAAAACCGCAAAAAGCGUUUUCUCGCCAAAACCGGAAAAAUGCAAUUUUCUUGCCAAAACCAGCAAAACGCAAUUUUCCCGCCAAAACCGGAAAACACAAUUUUCCCGCCUAAACCGAAAAACGCAAUUUUCCCUCGAAAACCGGAAAACACAAUUUUCCCGCCAAAACCGGAAAACAAAUUUUUCCCGCCAAAACCUAAAAACAGAAUUUUCCCGCCAAAACCGGAAAAACGCAUUUUCCCGCCAAAACCAGAAAAACACAAUUUUCCCGCCAAAACAGAAAAAAUGCAUUUUCCCGCCAAAACCAGAAAAACACAAUUUCCCGCCAUAACCAGAAAAACACAAUUUUCCCACCAAAAUCGUGAAAAAGCUUUUCCCGCCAAAAUCACGAAAAAAAACAUUUCCGUCAAAAUCGUGAAAAAAAAAAUUUCGUUGAAAACACUUUUCCCGCCAAAACCGCAAAAAUUCAUUUUUUCCGUCCAAACUGCAAAAACGUAUUUUUCUGUCAAACCCAUAAAAACGUAUUUUCCGCCGAAACCACGAAAAUACACUUUUUCGCCAAAAACAUAUUUUUCCUCAAAACCCGCAAAAAUAUUUUCCGCCAAAAUGGUAAAAAUGUUAUUUUUCCGCCGAAACGUAAAAAAUUAUAUUUUAGUCAUUUUAUUAACAAGUCCACCUGGAUGCAGAUGGAAGUUAAAAAAUGAAAAGCAAACGAACAUAGUUGCAUUCAGAUGAUUCAUCUGGAUGCAUGGACGAAAUGAAGAAACGAACAACACCUAGAUGGAGCAUCUAGAUAAGACAUCUAGAUAAGACAUCUAGAUGGACCAUCUGGAUGCAUCUUGUAGAUGCACAAACGCCUACUUAAUUUUUCAAUGUCAUCAUCUCUCUUUUUCAACAGAAACAAAGGUAAAAAACCUAAUAAAUUUUUUUUUUUUUUUUUUUCAAAUAUUUUUUUUUUUUCCACCAAAAUCUUCAAAAUUCUAACAAAAUGACCAUCAGAAUUGCACCAAAUCUGAAAUUCCUCUAAUCUUCUAAAACCCCUAAUCCAAUAAAUCUCCCUACUGACUUUUAGAAAGUUAUAAACAUGCUAGACUAAAUUUUAAUAAUAAAAAUUAUUUUGUAAUUUAGAAGUCAUAUGACUUAAUUAUAACAAUAAUUUAUGGUUCCACUUCCACAUAAUUUACGACGAACAAAAAGCUAAUAAAGCUAUAAUGAGGAAGAUGACUUUAAACAUGUGUAUGAGUGUGUUUUUGAAAACAAAAAAAUUGUUUGUUUUUAUAGAGAAAAUUAAAUGAAUUUUAACUAUACAUAGACACGAUAUCGGACCCUGCUACAAGUUAUUAGAUGAUAAUGAUAUUGUCAAAUCGUAUAAUAAUUCUAAAUUAUGGGUAAUACUUGAUUAUUAAAAAUACACAAAUUGUCUUGGUGCACAUCUGUCUCAUAGUUAUGUUUUUAAUUUGUAAAACUUUUUGUCAAAACACUAGAUAUAUUGAUUCUUCACAAAUACAGAGGAGGUGGGAUGCGGAUGUGAAAUACAGUGCCAGCGGUGAUAAGUGAUACCCCGGAAACUUAUAGACCGGCCAAACAAUUGUUUCCCGGUAAAGAAGCCCUAUGACAGGGAAAAACAAUUUACCAAAAAAUUACCAUUAAAAAAACUGAGAAACAGCAACUGAAAUCCAUCUAAAGAAAAACGACCCUAAACCAGCAAAGAUCAAAUUCCUUUAGUCCAAGAUAAAUCGUUUUUUCCUUUUCCAAAAAGGAUAAAUCGUCACCAAUGACAAAACACAAAAUUAUUUUGAAUUUCUCUAAUUUUUUUUUAAAAAAUGUUAACCAUUGCAGAUGUCCUAAUCCCUAAAUACUAUUUCUUUAAAAUAAAUCAACAAAACUAAGCAGCUAUAUAUUAGUUUAUAGGAAGUAAAUCAAGUCUAAAUCUAUGUCGACAAGAGUGUUCAGAAAUCUAAUUCCUUAUUCAAUGGUAUAUAAAAUUGUUGUAUUCCUUCCAUCUAUCAAUUAAUCCGGUUGUUGUAAAAAAAAAUAAAAAUUUAAUCCGCUUGUUGUAAAAAAAAUCAAUUAAUCCGCUCGUGGUUUCAUAGAUUUCUGCGGAAACAAAAUUUACAUGCUUUUGACUUAGGAGUUAUCAAAGAUCGCCAUUCGCCACACACAUAAAAAGGUUCAUUUCUUACGUCCAGUAGCAUAUACCUUGUAUGAGGGCAUGAUUAACUCCGGUCUUUUAGCCGGAGUUCUUAAUUCAUCAUUUAACAUUUUUUUGUUUGUUUUUUUUUUACAUUUUUUGGUUAAGAAACGAUUUUUAUAUCUCUUAUUUAAUAGAUGGUUUUUAGUUUUUCUUAAAUAAAAAUCCUAAUUAAAAAAACUGGGGUUAAUCAUGGUUUCAUAUGUAUAAGUUGUACUGGUACACGUACGGAUAUAUCAUUUUCGUGUCACACGUUGAUACAACAGAAGGAACAAUGGUAGACGAUUUGGGAACUAAAAUGGAAAGACAUAAUAAUUACACGCCAUGCUUAGAAAAUAAAGACCAAAGAGGUAAAAAAGUCUAGUCUAUUUUUACACUGAAAAUUUUUAAUUUCUUUCCAUUUUCUUUUUAUAACGCUGAUUUAUUAUGACAUUCUUUUCUGACCAGAUUUACUUGCACCAUGUUAAAGAUUCUUUGUAAACAUUUCUGCAAAAGAUUGCAUAGUCUGGGGUUCGAAUCCCAGACCUGAAUGUAGAAACCUUUAAAUCUUAACCACUGGACUAUGGUGCUUCCACUCCAUUUUUCUUCUAAUAAUUGGUUUCUUCUAGAAUAAGAGAUUUUUGAUGGAAGCUCAAACUUGUUUUCAAUAUCUAUAUAGUAUGGUCAAGCAUGUAUCAUUUUAACCAUCUACAAAACGAAAUAUAAGUAAAAUUGUAGUUGGAAGAUUAAAACAUUAAUGAUCUAUCAACUAACAUGAUUAAUGUUUCAGAUAAUGUAUAUAUUCAAUUGAUAAUUACCACGAGUUGAUUAUAAUAUUUUGUUAAGCGAAUUCAACACGUACCAAGUUUAUUAUUAUAGAUAUGUACGUGGCGGUAUUUCUUUUUUUUUGACGACAUGUACGUCGUCAGUACGUGGUGGUGUACUGGUGUUAGAAGCUAGAAUGUGGAUAACGUUAUCGUGUCUACUAUGAAGAAAUGUGAAAUACUGAAAUAUUAUCUACUAUCUUUUACAAAAAUCCAAUAACAAAAAAAGUUAAAUGUUUAGAUUAAUUAAACAAAGGUUUAGCAGUCAUCAACUCAAAUCCUGUUAAAAUAUAUACUUUCCAAACAAUAGUUAAACUAUACGAUUUGAAUCUUGUAUUCCGAGACGUACGAAUGUACGGACUAGAAUUUCACAGUCACUAAAAACUAUGGUCAGAUCUACUCAGUGCCGGCCUUGAAAAUAUAUAGACCGAAAGCAAGUAAAUAAAUAAAACUCAUUCAUAAGUUGUUUGUAAAUGAUUUAUAUAUCAAAAUGUAUAUGUAUGAAGAAAAUAGCACUACUGUCAAUCGAACUCGUCACCUUGCGUUUCAAAAUAACUAUGUUUAGCACUAGACUAACUAAGAAUCUUUUUAAAUAAUUGGCCGAAAUAUUUCUUUAAAAAGUGAAGGCCGGAAGCUUGAGCUUUCUCCGCUUCCGGUCAGGGCCGCUACUGGAUCUACUACAACAUAUAUCUGCCUAUGAAACUAAUCAUCAGCUGAAAAAUAGAACUAUAAUGUCUCAGUUAAAUAUUAUGAGGAACAUUAUAAAAUCAACGGGUUUGUCUAUAAUUCAUAGUGAACAUACUGCUUUAUUCGUAUCAAUAUAAAGUAAGAUUUUUUUUUUUUAAGUACGACCUUGUUUGAGCAUUUAAUCGGACCCAGCCACUUUAAUAUUCCAUUGAAUCCAUUGUCAGAUUAUAGGAAACAACAAAGUCGAAGUAAAGUGAAACCUGAAAUGUAAUAAGUUAUCGGCGAUCCUUGCGCGUUUACACCAUGAUGACUGCUUCUUUCCUCGAAGGUUCUUGACGUCAGAUUUAUUAUUUAAGAGAUGUUGACGCUAUGUAAGAAUUUUCAAACCUAGAUCGUUAUAACAAGAAUUUAAACGAAUCCAUCUGUGUUUUUUUUUUUCAAAGCGCGUGACCUAUUCGGAAACAUGUUACUUAAGCACGUGAAAAUUGGAAACAACAUGCAUGUCGUUUAAAAAAAACAAAAAAGAUAGAUUUUUUUUAACUCGUCUAACGUUCGUGUGGAGUUUGCAACAACAAGAUUAUUUUUAUCCUUUUCUUAAGUGAACGAGAGAUUGCGCGGACUUGAAUGUAGUCUGUCAUUCUUGCCUAACAGAAAUCAAUCGCAUUAUUUAUUGCGAUUUUAACGCUCUCAAUGAUUUUAGAUCCAUGUUUUUUAUUGUUAUUGGCAGUAGGAUUUUUCUAAAUUUCAGAUUAUUCUGAAUUCAGUCAAAAACGCACCAAUAAAAUGAGGUAUCAGUUUUUAUAUUUCAAAAUGCACAUUAAUAUUCAAUAUAUAGCAUUUGUUUUUGUUUUUUUUUUCUCUUUUACCCCUUUCACUUUUUAUUUUCCUUUAUUUUGUUUCAAACCGAAAUCCAAAAUAAUUGCUAGUGGGAUGCGAACAACUAAAGUGAUAUUAAUUUCUAAAUACUGUUAAAGUUAAGUAGCCUAGCUAAUUUGCUAUUUAGAUGCCAAUAUUAAAUCGUAUUUAAGUUGGAAUCCAAUAAUAAACUCGAAUCUAAUAUGGUAUCAGAGCUCAGAUCAUAAAUACCCUAAGCUCCUAAUUAAUAUAACCAUAUCCGACCGGGUAUAAAAGGUCGUAAUUGACUCGCUCGACCGAGUAUAACUGUAUUAAAGUUCCAAGGUUUCUGGCCGAUAAGAGACAUCAUCUCGAGAAGGGGUAUUAUGGAUAUUAUAUCCCGCAUCAGAAAUUCUAAAGGACAUUAAGUAAUAUAUAAAGGGUUAGGGUUAAUCCACUAAUCACCAAUUGGUUUUAAGUUGAAAGUCCAUAAUAAACCUGAAUCUAACGGUAUCCAACGCAGUUAAGCCACUCGCAAAUUCAUGUAUCAUACCUGACUAUACACACACAUACAUAUAUAUUGAUAUCCCAAAAUGUUACAUUUGAUUUCAAAGAUCACAAGUAUGAAUUUAAGAAUUAACCGACAAAAAAAACGCCAGGGACGCAACGACAUUGUGCUAGAGCCAUUCAUCUCUAUGACCCUAACGUGAAAUAUCUUGGCGAAGAGAAAUCCAUGAGCUGCAAGGCUACAUAGUAGUAGAGUGUGUUUAGACCACACAAUCGUGAAGUGAGCAACCCAAUCACAUCAGAUAAGAACAACAAACAGUGAUGCCCAUAGUGAUGCCACAUGAUAUAAUUUUCUCGACAAUUAAGCACCUCAUACUACUUUAAGAAUACGAAAAUAAAUUUUAAACGUGGUCCAAACACACAGGACUCCAAGAUACAGAGAAAAGUCAUAAAAUAAUACAUACACACACGGCCUUCUUUUGUAACCUACAGUCGGUUCGCUGAUGAUAUAUUUUACAAAAUCCAUAAACAGUAUCGUUUCGACAACAUGAACUCCACAGUGUCCAUACUCCAUAGAAUACCUUCCUUACGGAUGCCAUUGCAUACAAAUACACUACACAUCGAAUACACAUAAUAUGCUCACACAUACAUAAUGUCAAACCAUCUAAAAGUCGCGUAUAAAAGUCAACGAAUGUAAAUUUACGUGAUAGUUUUCUCACUGUACAUUUCACAAAAGAACAAGUCAUCGCUUUCAGUACGUAACGUUAUUGGUUUUUGUCUGAAACAGCUCGGGCAACAAUUACGGCAUAACCAGGCCUCGUGGUCUGGUGGUAUAGGAACCUCGGCUGAGGUGUCCGCCAUCACGAGUUCGAGCCCCGGCCACAGCGGAUUUAACAUCCCUUCCGUUGGGGCGCUAGACCCCCUACGGGGAUAGUUGGGAAUGUGGCUGCCCAGAUACCAGAGUUACAAAAAAAAAAAAAAAAAAAAAAUUAAAGGCAAUUUUUUUAAAAAAAAAAAAAAAAAAAUAAAGGAAAAAAAAAAAAAAACAAUUACAGGCAUAUGUUUUACAAACAAAAAAAAAACAAUUACAGGCAUAUAAUAAACAGAAUUUUCAAUAUAACAGCAUAUAUAUUUUGUUUAUUAUUCCGAAAAUCGUUGAUAAUUAUAAAACUAAAGAUAAGAUAAAUCUCAACGUGUGUAUAUGAAAAAAUGAAAGCUACGAACCACGUCAUUACAAAACCAAAGCAACAAGAUGUUCACAAGUGAACUCUCGACAGAUGCAUGGACAAUGUCCUUUGGCAGUGGAGGGACCAUUCUCCGUUCUUGAUAUUUUCUUCCAUAUUAUGCAUUUUAAAAUUGCAACAUAGUAAUCAACCUGAGGCAACAUUAUCGGUAAAAGUUCUUAAUUUUUUUUUUUUUUCUGAUUAAAAAAAAAUAGAAACGAACCAAUCGUGGACCGUCACGUGUCAAUGGGGUCCGCGAUCAGUACAAGGACAAAGCCAAAACGCCUCUUAUUUAAUGACUUCUUCCCCUCGGUUUUGUUGUUUUUGUGGGCUCUCUCCCUUUAAGGACCAAAUUUUGUGCCCGAUAAUGUUGUCUUUAGAACACCAUUAUUGGGUUUCUAAAAAUGGAUUUCUUUCAAAAAAACAAUGUGCGGCUCCACCAAACCAUAAAAACCAGUUUCCAAAGUCAUGAAAUAAAAACCUUUUGUGGUGGAUUUUUUGCAGUGUUUGCGGGUCCUACCGACACGUAACGGCCCGUAAUUGAUGCGCUUUUUAAUUUUUUUUUAAUCAAACGAAAAAAAGUUAGAAACGCUUAAAUGAGUUUUACCAAUAAUGGUGCUUUUAGGCAAUCAGUAAAUGUAAUAAAUUAAGUUGCUGGAAAAGAAGAGUCAAAGUUAUUUAAAAUGUAGACUCCACGUACUGCGUAGCUCACAAAAGAAAGACUAACUAGAUAUAAAUAUUAUUAUGCUGUUUUCAAUUUGAGAAGCUACAGUUUCAAAUAAGUGUUUGGCGCUAGAGUGAUUCGUUCACACCAAACUAUAUGUAAUGUUAAACUAUAGUCUAAACUACGCAUGGUACUAAACUACACCUGGUUUAAACUGUAUUCUUCAGUAUCAUCCGAAACAAGAUUUAUAUUAGUCUGUAUAGUGAGUCAGCACAGUUCGAUAAACAUUGAUCUUAAGUUCCAUUUUUUUCACUUCCGAUAAGAAACCCACUAUAAGAACUCCGGAUUAAUCAUGAUCUUAGAUCCACCCAUGUAAGUCAGAUAUUCAAAAUCUUAUCAAGCUAUGGAAUAGUUGGAGGACGAGUAAAAGCCACUUUUGCUCAAAAUACGUAACAAAAGGAAUAUAGAAACUAUUUCAAGUAUUACGAAAAAAAUACUAUUUCUCAAGUUCUGAUAAACAAGAAAAAAAAAAGAAUUUCUCUUUAAGUUUGAUCAAAAGAAAAUAUUUUAGCUUCAAAAAAAAAUUAUCCUUUUAAGUUUUACAGUGUUAGUAUUAAAAAUAAUCAUUUGUAGAAAUGUGAUGUGAACACGCUAUAGCCUAUAUGUGUGACUUAACCUCUUGGAAAAAUCAUGUUUACAUAUACCGAAAAAUUAUAUUAACUAAAACAAUGAAAGGUAUAUCAGCAUCAAGAUACACAUUAAAGACGAAUCCAACGGUUGAAAAUAAAUUAAAGAAAGACCAAAAGCAAGAAAGAAGAAGGAAAUGACUAUAUAUACACACCCAUAGACAUCUCUGUUCCUCACUCGGAAAAAGUCCAUUCUACUUGUAUAUUUAGUGAGAGUGUGUGAGAGCUUCACAUAAAUAAUUGAAAGUCCUCUUAGUAAACUCAUAUCUAAAGAAAUAAACAAAUAGUUACAGUAAUCAAUAAUUCACUUGUUUGGUCAUCAACUCAUCAUCAUCAUCGUGACCAGAGUGAAGUGAUACGUGGUGAGAUCUGACUGGUUCACCGGAGAUAAAAUGGGGAGGACGACGUGGUUUGACGACGAUGGGGUGAAGAAAGGAGAGUGGACGGUGGAGGAAGACCGGAUGCUCGUGGCUUACAUCAACGAAUACGGUCUCGGGGACUGGCGUACCCUGCCUAAGAGAGCCGGUAUAAAUCUAUACUUACGCUCUAUAUAUGCAUACAUUUUGUUUGUGUCUCUCUCAAAGCUAAGAUCUAUAGACUCUAGUUUCUGUAGGACCAAGGAUCUUGUUUUGAGCAUGUUUUGAUUUUUAUUUUUUUUGUUGGUUCUAUCUUUUCUCAAUCAUUUAGAGUAUAUUCCAUUGUCUGAAGUAUUUAACAAAAAUCCAUAUGUAUACAUAUUUUUAAAAUCGAUUUUUGGAAACAUAUAAUUAGACUUAUGUAAUCAAUGAUCUAUGCGAUUAUUAUAUUUUGUAGAACCUUCAACCAGAUUCUAUUGUAUUUUGUAGAACCCUCAACCAGAUUCUAUUGAUAUGAUGAUAUGAUCAUAAUGGAAUAUGUAAACCCAUUAAAGCCAAGGAUUUUCCUGAUUACUUUUUAAUCAUGAUUUUAUUACUAUAUUCAGUUCUCUAAAGUGUAAAGGUAUGGAAAUUAAAAUAUAUUUAUAUCCUAAUUUUACCCAAAAUCAGAAAGUUUAAGUGAUCAUGUUUUCUCCUCUUUGUCUGAUGGAAAAAGGUUCACAUGAGGUUCAAUAUAUUUCUUCUUUAACUUAUUUGCUUUGCCACUAUAUUAAAGUAAAAAUUUCACCUAAUUUUUGUGAUAUGUUUUUUUUUCAUAAAUGGAAAAAGGUCUGCAGAGAUGUGGAAAGAGUUGUAGAUUAAGGUGGCUGAAUUAUUUGAGGCCUGGAAUUAAAAGAGGCAAGUUCACUCCUCAAGAGGAAGAGGAUAUCAUCAAAUUUCAUUCUCUUCUUGGAAACAGGUAAUUUAAUGUGUCAUUAAAUCCAAACCAACCGAACUACCUUGUUUUUUAGGACACCAUUACUGGGAGUCCCUUAAAGCAUCCAUUAGAGGAGAGGGGUGGGAACUGAGGAAGAAAGAGAAGGGAAAAAUCCAUUAAUUAAUGGCUGUCCUUUGCUCUCCAGCGACCGGAAAAAAAAAAAAAAACAAAACAAACGACUCUUUUUCUCCAGUCUCUCUUCGUACUACCAAUAAUGUUGCCCUUAGUUUUUAAAAAGAAAACAAGAAUUGUGUAAUAUACUAUUAUAGAUACAUUAUUAAAGUAAUGAUUAUGCAUAUAAUUACAUCAGGUGGGCAGCAAUAGCAAAGCAAAUGCCAAACCGAUCAGACAAUGACAUAAAAAACCAUUGGAACUCAUGUCUGAAGAAAAGACUCGUUAGAAGCGGCAUCGAUCCCAUGACCCAUAAGCCAGUCGUCACCGUCGCCAAAGCCACUUCCUCCUCAACGAUGGCGUCUCCAACAUCGACUCCAUCUUCGUCCUCUUCUGCUACUUCUUCCUCUUUUUCCUCCACAAGCUCUGCACGUCUACUUAACAAGCUUGCUGCUGGAAUCUCGUCCAGAAAACAUGAACUCGAUAGGAUCAAGAACGUCAUCAUGUCGGAACCAAGACAAGCCGUCGAAGAAGACGAGAUGAUGAUAGGCAGCAAGGAAGAUGAGGAAGUGACUGGUUGUUCCAUGGAGAUCGAUGAGAAUCUGAUCAGUACGACUUCGUUUGAUGAGUUUUUAACGUGUGACUUCACUCCUACGUAUACCCCUGGCUUCGUCGCUGCUUUUGAUGACUACUCAUUAGUUGAGCCAUAUAAUCUAUAUCAAUCUGAUUUCUAUCAUGAGACCAGUGAUGAUCAACUUGACUUGUUCCUCCUUUGAAAUUCACUCUCUUGGAGUAGUUUUUUCUGGAUGUAUUUUUUUUUUUGUAUCCGUUAGUUCAAUGUGACGAAAGAGAGAGGUUUCUGAAAAAAGCAAGUACUCAUAACUCAUAAGUACUAUGAGUGACAUGUAUGGUCAAUGUUUCUGAGUUUUGACUGUUAACUUACCUUUUUUUAAGUCGAUGACCUCUCUGUUCGGCAGGCUAACCAUGAGCCCUACAUCUACAUGCACAUUUGGAGUUUCUUGCAUGACAUUCCAAUGAAAACUAUCCCAUCGAAUUCUAUAUUUUUUUUUUUGGUAAAAUGUUAAAGAUUAUAUUACCAAGUUUUCAUUUUUUACAGAAGAACACAGAGUAGCAGAGUGCAAGAAUUGAAACUAAACAGAUCAUCUAAAGCAGAGUACAACUUUAAACAAAAGAAGAUGAUGUCCGGAAAGGGACUGAUGUUAACGUAGCAGCGACGGACCUAAUGAGAGGGUAUGAGCGGAACAAGCCUCCAGUUUCCGUGAGCUACCGGAGAGAAAGGCGCCCUCAAACCUUGAAGCACCGGCUCCUACAGCUUCUAGAAACCCACUCAUCAAUACAUUCCCAAAGAAUCACGUCUCGAGCUCGCAAGCACAUCCAACAUUGCCUCACCGGCAGCACGAGGAGGAGUCCACAACCGGCGAUGCCGUCGUUCGGGACGGGAGUUCGAAGAUUGCUGCCUCCAACUCCUCCACCCCGGGACCGUGUACACCCUUUUAACCCACCACACAUAUAGAGCAGUGAGACAGGUCGGGCACAUCUCCUCCGGAGAAACAACCGUCGAACGUAGAAAGAAGCCCGAGAGCCAAGCUAACACCUUUCCGCUGACCUAAGAACCACUCGCUUUCACCAAAGCCAACUUGCUAAGAUGACGAAGGGACAGAGACUGGUGACGAGGAGCGCCACACCGUAGGACCUACUCCGGCUUUAGAGUGAUGUAAGAACCACAUGUCAAGAGGAGCUCGACAGGGGGAGACAUCAGCUUCACGCGCCACCACUGGCGAGAUCGCAAGGAAGAGACGACGAUCCCUUGGAAUCUCUCCACGCGCGACCUCAUGGAGACCACCAGAGAAUCAAAAGAGGAGCAUAGGAACUUGAGAUCCACAGAUCCACAAGCGCCAAGCCCGCUCUGAAACCAGACACUACGAAGCCAUCAGCCACGCUCCACAGCGACAGUAUCGAACGAGCUUAUCGCACGACUCACGCGCCACCAACUCGAAGAGAUUUGGUCAGAGAAAGGGAAAACGUCACCGAGCAGAGAUCCCUUCGCAGACCGGAGACACCACAAUAGAAGGGAAGAUCGUCCUCAAGCCCCACCGCAAACCACCAUGGACCACCAGAUCUGAGCCAGGAACCGCCGGAUCUGAACCGGAGACAACUCGACCAAGCCCAACCCCAGCCGAAAGAGAGAUAGACCACGGAGAUGAACAGAGAAACGGAAUAGAAACACAGAGAGAAGCUACCGGCGACCACCCCUAGGGGACGGCGGCCGCCGGGAGAGCACAACAAAAUUAGGGUUUUUUUUUAAGUUAGAGAGAGGUUGUAGCGUAAAAAGUUUCCCAAAAUUAGUCAACAAAAUUCUAUAUUGUUAUAGGUUUGCUAGUCAUAAAGGUGUGUAGUUGAAACUUUUAUUUCGACGCAUUAA
rnacentral:lncRNA from 1 species